GGUGCAUGGUUGUCGUCAGCUCGUGUCGUGAGAUGUUGGGUUAAGUCCCGCAACGAGCGCAACCCUCGACCUUAGUUGCCAGCAUUCAGUUGGGCACUCUAAGGUGACUGCGGCUAAAAGUCGGAGGAAGGUGGGGAUGACGUCAAAUCAUCAUGCCCCUUAUGACCUGGGCUACACACGUGCUACAAUGGGCGGUACAAAGGGUCGCGAACCCGCGAGGGGGAGCCAAUCCCAAAAAGCCGCUCUCAGUUCGGAUUGCAGGCUGCAACUCGCCUGCAUGAAGCCGGAAUCGCUAGUAAUCGCGGAUCAGCAUGCCGCGGUGAAUACGUUCCCGGGCCUU
rnacentral:rRNA from 1 species